CCCCCAGUUAACAAAUAACCUAAGUUAAUAGGAUAAUAUAUUGUGCUAAUAUGUUGAUAUCUAUAUUUCAGAUAGGCGAGGAAGAAAUGAUUCCAGAUUGGCAAAUUCCAGUAGCUGAUAAAAGCAUAUCAAAUAACAUUACUAAAUUACGGAACCGCAUCCAAAAGCUUGAAGAUUUGAAAGGCCGUAUUCAAGAACUACCCAAGCUUAUCCAGCUUUCUGCUCCUAAACAUGAAAAGAAAAAAGCAUUAAGCCCUGUGGCUCCUGCUCCAAAAGACCCAAAACGUAUUAUUGAAGAACUUGCUAUGAAAAAUGCAACUGAGGAUGUAAUGAAUAUGGUACAAGUUUUCCAAGAUGAUACAGGCCAACAAACAAUGGAAUCAAUGAAUAAUCGCAUGCUAGAAAUAAUGAAAGUGUUUGAAAGACAGACAAACAAGUUACACAGAGUUUCAAAUGAACAGGAUGUGCUGGAAGGUAAAUUACAGAAGAUUCAACAAGAAUUUCGAAAGCUUGCAGAAGAGAAGGAGAUAAUGGAGGAUGAACUUCAAAAGAUGAAAGGUUCAGAGCAAGAGAAAGGAGUGCAAGAUACAAGGAAAAAAAUGUUAUCAAAACUGGAAAAAGAAAAAGCAAAAGUUGAAGAAAAACCACCUCAAGUAAUUGUAGAAAAGUAAGAAAAGUAAUUAAUAAUCUAGAUUGCAAUCUACACUCCCUUUCUUGGUUUGU
rnacentral:lncRNA from 1 species